UAGUGACCUUAACGCUUGUAAAACGUGCAAUGCUGCGCGUUUUAUGACGUUGUAUGAGUUCAUAUCUGAGGCCAGUGAACGCAGCAUCACCCUCUGAACUCUAAAGGUCAUGAGGUCAGGAGACCGUUAAUUAAAUUAUAAGUCUGUCUGAGCAUAGAACCGACUCUUUGACGGAAUCGACUCCCUGCCGUGUUGCUCGUGAAGACGUUUUCAAACGCUCUUUUCUGUUAGCGCUUCAAGCAAUCAAUAUCAAAAUCCACUAUCUGGCCAAAAGUAUGCGGACACCUGAUUAUCACACCUGAGCUUGUUGGAUGUCCCACACC
ensembl:lncRNA